rnacentral:rRNA from 1 species
CCUACGGGGUGCAGCAGUGGGGGAUAUUGCACAAUGGGGGAAACCCUGAUGCAGCGACGCCGCGUGGGUGAAGAAGCGCCUCGGCGCGUAAAGCCCUGUCAGCAGGGACGAAAAUGACGGUACCUGAAGAAGAAGCCCCGGCUAACUACGUACCAGCAGCAGCGGUAAUACGUAGGGGGCAAGCGUUAUCCGGAUUUACUGGACGUAAAGGGGGCGCAGACGGCGAUGCAAGCCAGGAGUGAAAGCCCGGGGCCCAACCCCGGGACUGCUCUUGGAACUGCGUGGCUAGAGUGCAGGAGGGGCAGGCGGAAUUCCUUGUGUAGCGGUGAAAUGCGUAGAUAUCAGGAGGAACACCAGUGGCGAAGGCGGCCUGCUGGACUGCAACUGACGUUGAGGCCCGAAAGCGUGGGGAGCAAACAGGAUUAGAUACCCGGGUAGUC